rnacentral:sRNA from 1 species
CUUGGUCAUUUAGAGGAAGUAAAAGUCGUAACAAGGUUUCCGUAGGUGAACCUGCGGAAGGAUCAUUAUUGAUUUACCAUACUUUUGUGAACAUUUAAUUACGUUAACGUAUCAUAUCUUUUAAUUAUAACUAUCAACAACGGAUCUCUUGGCUCUCACAUCGAUGAAGAACGCAGCGAACCGCGAUAUUUUUUGUGACUUGCAGAUGUGAAUCAUCAAUCUUUGAACGCACAUUGCGCAGUAUGGUAUUCCGUACUGCACGGAUGGAAGAGCGUGUUCCCUUUGGGAUCGCAUUGCUUUCUUGAAAUGAAUCUAUUACUUCAAUAUACCUCAUUUCACCUCUUUCAUCCGAGAUUACCCGCUGAACUUAAGCAUAUCAAUAAGCGGAGGAAAAGAAACCAACAGGGAUUGCCUCAGUAACGGCGAGUGAAGCGGCAAAAGCCCAAAUUUGAAACCCUCGGGAUUGUAAUUUGAAGAUCUGGCAUUGGAGAAAGCUAACCCAAGUUACUUGGAAUAGUACGUCAUAGAGGGUGACAACCCCGUCUGGCUAACCGUUCUCCAUGUAUUGCCUUAUCAAAGAGUCGAGUUGUUUGGGAAUGCAGCUCAAAGUGGGUGGUAAACUCCAUCUAAAGCUAAAUACUGGUGAGAGACCGAUAGCGAACAAGUACUGUGAAGGAAAGGUGAAAAGAACUUUGAAAAGAGAGUGAAAUAGUAUGUGAAAUUGUUGAUAGGGAAGGAAAUGAGCGGAGAGUGGUUGAGGUUUCACUCGUCCCUUGGGGCGAGGUACUGCCGACGCCGAGUCAUUGUCAGCGAGACAGGGGUUAUAAACGGGUUACACUUGUGUUUCUCACCUAACCCCUUUACUGCCGACAACGACAUAAUCCGCCCAUUUCA